rnacentral:rRNA from 1 species
AACGAACGCUGGCGGCAUGCCUAACACAUGCAAGUCGAACGAGACCUUCGGGUCUAGUGGCGCACGGGUGCGUAACGCGUGGGAACCUGCCUUUAGGUUCGGAAUAACUCAGAGAAAUUUGAGCUAAUACCGGAUAAUGUCUUCGGACCAAAGAUUUAUCGCCUUUAGAUGGGCCCGCGUUGGAUUAGCUAGUUGGUGGGGUAAAGCCUACCAAGGCGACGAUCCAUAGCUGGUCUGAGAGGAUGAUCAGCCACACUGGGACUGAGACACGGCCCAGACUCCUACGGGAGGCAGCAGUGGGGAAUAUUGGACAAUGGGCGAAAGCCUGAUCCAGCAAUGCCGCGUGAGUGAUGAAGGCCUUAGGGUUGUAAAGCUCUUUUACCCGAGAUGAUAAUGACAGUAUCGGGAGAAUAAGCUCCGGCUAACUCCGUGCCAGCAGCCGUCGGUAAUGUGACUACUG